AGUCUGACGGAGCACGCCGCGUGAGUGAAGAAGGUUUUCGGAUCGUAAAACUCUGUUGUGAGGGAAGAACAAGUACCAACUAACUACUGGUACCUUGACGGUACCUCACCAGAAAGCCACGGCUAACUACGUGCCAGCAGCCGCGGUAAUACGUAGGUGGCAAGCGUUGUCCGGAAUUAUUGGGCGUAAAGCGCGCGCAGGCGGUCCUUUAAGUCUGAUGUGAAAGCCCACGGCUCAACCGUGGAGGGUCAUUGGAAACUGGGGGACUUGAGUGCAGAAGAGGAAAGUGGAAUUCCACGUGUAGCGGUGAAAUGCGUAGAGAUGUGGAGGAACACCAGUGGCGAAGGCGACUUUCUGGUCUGUAACUGACGCUGAGGCGCGAAAGCGUGGGGAGCAAACAGGAUUAGAUACCCUGGUAGUCCACGCCGUAAACGAUGAGUGCUAAGUGUUAGGGGGUUUCCGCCCCUUAGUGCUGCAGCUAACGCAUUAAGCACUCCGCCUGG
rnacentral:rRNA from 2 species